GCCAGACUUGUGUAGCAUACAUAAGGUUAACCAACCACUUAAGGGGUAAACUGACAACAACUUGGGCCCUUGGGAGAUAUUAGGUAAUGUCUCCCCACACCCUAUGAAUCUCUUAUCUUCUCACACAUUCUCACAAACCUGAACUGCCUGUCUGAUUACGUAUUUAAUUAGUUUUUAAGGAUAACUCACUUGCAGAGCUGUACA